UCGGGAAUUUUGGGCAAUGGGGGAAACCCUGACCCAGCAACGCCGCGUGAAGGAUGAAGUAUUUCGGUAUGUAAACUUCGAAAGAAUAGGAAGAAUAAAUGACGGUACUAUUUAUAAGGUCCGGCUAACUACGUGCCAGCAGCCGCGGUAAUACGUAGGGACCAAGCGUUGUUCGGAUUUACUGGGCGUAAAGGGCGCGUAGGCGGCAUCACAAGUCACUUGUGAAAUCUCUGGGCUUAACCCAGAACGGCCAAGUGAUACUGUCGCGCUAGAGUGCAGAAGGGGCAAUCGGAAUUCUUGGUGUAGCGGUGAAAUGCGUAGAUAUCAAGAGGAACACCUGAGGUGAAGACGGGUUGCUGGGCUGACACUGACGCUGAGGCGCGAAAGCCAGGGGAGCAAACGGGAUUAGAUACCCAUGUAGUCCCUGAGCGGGCUGGCAAGGCGCAU
rnacentral:rRNA from 1 species